rnacentral:rRNA from 1 species
GAUGAACGCUGGCGGCGUGCCUAAUACAAGCAAGUCGAGCGAACGGACGAGAAGCUUGCUUCUCUGAUGUUAGCGGCGGACGGGUGAGUAACACGUGGAUAACCUACCUAUAAGACUGGGAUAACUUCGGGAAACCGGAGCUAAAACCGGAUGAUAUUUUGAACCGCAUGGUUCAAAAGUGAAAGACGGUCUUGCUGUCACUUAUAGAUGGAUCCGCGCUGCAUUAGCUAGUUGGUAAGGUAACGGCUUACCAAGGCAACGAUGCAUAGCCGACCUGAGAGGGUGAUCGGCCACACUGGAACUGAGACACGGUCCAGACUCCUACGGGAGGCAGCAGUAGGGAAUCUUCCGCAAUGGGCGAAAGCCUGACGGAGCAACGCCGCGUGAGUGAUGAAGGUCUUCGGAUCGUAAAACUCUGUUAUUAGGGAAGAACAUAUGUGUAAGUAACUGUGCACAUCUUGACGGUACCUAAUCAGAAAGCCACGGCUAACUACGUG